GCCGGGUGUGAUGACUCGCGCCUGUAAUCCCAGCAAUUUGGGAGGCCGAGGCGGGAGGAUUGCUUGAGGCCAGGAGUUCAAGACCAGCCUGGCCAACAUGGCAAAACCCUGUCUCUA
ensembl:misc_RNA Metazoa_SRP Metazoan signal recognition particle RNA